CCUACGGGACGCAGCAGUGAGGAAUAUUGGUCAAUGGGCGGAAGCCUGAACCAGCCAAGUCGCGUGAGGGACUAAGGCCCUGCGGGUCGUAAACCUCUUUUGCCGGGGAGCAGUGGUCCGGACGCGUCCGGACCGGGAGAGUACCCGAAGAAAAAGCAUCGGCUAACUCCGUGCCAGCAGCCGCGGUAAUACGGAGGAUGCGAGCGUUAUCCGGAUUUAUUGGGUUUAAAGGGUGCGCAGGCGGAUUUUUAAGUCAGCGGUCAAAUCGUGGGGCUCAACCCCAUCCAGCCGUUGAAACUGGGGAU
rnacentral:rRNA from 1 species